CGUAGGAGGGGUGGGAUGGGGCUUGGGGAAGGGGUUCAGGAUAACGACACGGUGGGAAGCCAUCCAUUUGAUUGUAUCAAGAAGCCUUUGUCUUAGAGGGAGUGUAUGGAAGCUGAAGACUUAGUAUCAUAACUGGCUUUCCUGGGCAGGCACAGCGUGCAUGCUGCUUGCUGGCAAGCCUUGCCCACGCAUCAGGUAGCCCUGCAGGCUCCCAGCUCAGGAAGCCCACUGGCACUGCACCUCCCUGUUUCUUACCCUGGGAGGUAGCACCUGCAGUCUGGAGCCCUGGGGCUGGGGGAGGGGUUGUGGGGGGAGGAGUAGUGAGGGGAGGGAUCAUGACACGAUGUGCAUUCUGCAGAGGGAAGAGCCAGGUGCUGAUGCCGGGCAGAGCAGCCUGCUGUCUACUGUUUCUGCUUCCUGGUGACUUCAUCUUUCCACAGGCCGGGCACAUGCCUGGAGACAUCAGAUGCUCCAAUUUGCAGGAUCAGUCAGAGGCAUGUUUCCCAUGACAGGAGCCCUGGGUUGAGGCCUGUUCCUUUAGAGGGGAGGCCUGUGGGGGGCAGAUCUAAGAACUGGUAACCUGUGCAAGGAUAUCAGGAAGGCUAGGCUCAGCAGGCUGGGUGCUCCGGGAAGAAGGGGCUGCACAGGGGUCCAUCUGCCGCUGGGAGAUCAGCUGAUCUUUCCCAUUGCUCGACCCCUUGCAGGUUGCCCUGUGUAGGGCAGAGGAAGGGUCCCUAAUGCUUUCUUCUCGGGAAGGGCUUGGGCCUUUUCAUGGAAUUACCUCUUCCUCUGGCCCGGUGCCCACACAUUCUCUCAUUGUGGCCACCAGAGACCUACCACUGUCCCCUGGAUGUUCCCCCUGGGCCCCUGGCAACCAAGGGCCAGAGGAAAGCUUAGCUUCUGAGCCAAGAGAACGCCCUUCCUUCUUCCUGGACAUCGAGAAACCAGUGUGGUACAGGGACAGGCAUGGGAGCUGUCCACACCACAUGCCAGCAAUGGGAACACCCAGUACCCAGAGCAACUUUGAAAAUAAUAAAACACAUGGGAAGCCACGGCUCUCUAUUAAACACCACACACCUAAAUACCAAACACGUCUGAUUGACACCAGUUGUUUACACACUGAAACAUGUUGUGUCCUUGUAGAGGCCUAAUGUAUGUGUAAGCUGCGAAUUAGCACACUUUAAAAAUGAUGUAUCUUGGCCCCGACACCAGGAUGGCUGCCUGCCUUCGUCUGGAAAGCGACUUCUUACAGUCUGACACUGUUUGGCAUUGCCCUGCUUGCACUAAAAACGAUUUGUUGAGGUUGGAAAGACGGUGCUAUGAUUAAGAGCACUUGCUGCUCUUGCAAAGGACCAGAAUUUGGUUCCCAGCACUCCUCCUGGGUGACUCAAAACUGCCUGUAACUCUGGGAUCUGACACUCUCUUCUGGGCUCCAUGGGCACCUCUGCCCCCCCCCCCGACACACACACAUACACACACACACAUGUGCACACUCACACAGAAAAACACAUAUUCACACAAGCAUACAUAUACAAAUCCACAAAACACACACACACACACACACACAGACAAAAUAAAAUAGCCAGGCAUGGUGACGGCUCACUCCAUUUAUCUCAGCACUGGGGAGGCAGAAGCAGGUGGAUCUCUAUGGAUUCCAGGGCAGCCUGGUCUCUGUAGCAAGUUCUAGGCUGGCUAGGGAUGCACAGUGAGACCCUUUCUCAAAAACAAAAUAAAUAUAAAAAAAGAUUUAUGUAUUUAUUUAUUUGUGUGUGCAUUUGGCACAUGUGUGUGUGUGUGUGUGUGUGUGUGUGUGUGUGUGUGUGUGUGUGUAUGUGUGUGUCCAUGCAUGUCCAGGCAUGAGCAUACUCUGGUGUACAGACAGAAGUCAGAGGAUAAUUUUCAGACGUCAGUUCUCCCCUUCCACGUUAGUGAAGAAGGGUCUUGUUUUUGCCAGUGUGCGGUGUACCCUGGGCUGGCCCCAGAGAUGUCUGGCAGCUGUCCUGUCUGUCUUGUGUCUUGCUGUAGGCAUGUUGGAACUACAGAUGUGUACUGCUGCAUCCUUUGUACAUGGGUUCCUGGGAUUGAACUCAGGACCUUUAGUCUAGAGGCUAGAGGCUGUCCCUCAGUCCUCAGGUGCCUCUGUAGCCUCCCCUUCCCAUUGAGAGUCUUCCCUGCAGACUCCCAUUCCCCAACCUUUAGCCAGCCCUGUGGAAGUGAGCUACGACGGGCACAGUGAUGGCUGGCAUCAUCCAAGAAGCAGAGCUUGGCUCUGAUCCCAUCAAUCUGUAGGAACACACAGAGCUUUUAUUUCUGUUUCAACUUUAAAACAAUGAAACAGCACGGACUGUGGCGAGAAAUAUUUAUGUUUUGCAAAUGCAAAUUUUAGUGCAUGCAUGAAAUGUUUUAUUGAAUUUGAUUCUUUAAAUGAGAAUUUAUUCUUCUAUUAAAAUCAUUGCUAAGAAUCACAAAUCAAGGAGAGAUGGAGUGUGGCCCGCUGUAUGAGCUCCCUACAGCUGAUGGAUCGGAUCAUCGAAAGCUUGGGGGAUGGAUUAUCUCCUGGUUCUAAAGGCUAGGGUGCUUCUUGGAAGCCGGGCUAGGAUUUUAACUUGACACUUGUGCAUGCUGGGUGAGAAUCUAAACCACUGCCCGGCCCCGAGAAGGAAGAAAUCAGGUUUUAUCAUCCCUGACACUCCAGGACAAGUCCUGAUCUCUCUUUGCCUGCCUUCCUUGGCUCGUGGCUCCAUCCUCUAUCUAUACUAAGAUCUCAGGGGUUUUGGUUUGGUUUUUUUGUUUUUGAUGGCACUGAGAGUCUACCCUUAAGGUUCUCCAUGUGCCCUUUCCAUAAGAAUCUACAGGAGAACUUUCUGUGAUCCUGGGUAACCUCCCAACACCCAAUCCUCAACUUAAUUUUUUUUUUAAUUUAGUUUUAAUUGUGUAUACACACGCAUGAAUGUAGGUGCCCUUGAGUUCCAGAAGAGGGUAUUUGAUCCCCUUGAGCUAGAGUUACAGGCAACUGUGAGCUGCCCAAUGUGGGUGUUGCAAACCAAACUCAAGUCCUCUGCAGGGGCAGUAUGCACUCUUAAUCCCUGGGCCAUUUCUCCCAUCCCAAAUCGUCAACUUUAAUCACAUAUGCAAGGUUCUCUUUUUCAUAUAAGCAGCAGCUUGGGGUAGUAGAAGUGGGUCCCGUAUUUCUUUGGGGCCUUUGCUCAAUCAUCUCGUUGUGUAAAAAGGCAGUUGUUCAACAAAAUGUAUCUUGGGGAGAUGCAACAUACAUAUCUGCUCACCCAGAUAGAGAUCCUACAACACCCUAAAGUACGGAUAUCACAAAAGUCCAUCUCAGUUAACCAAUGGGUCUUGCUGGGGUUACCUACAAGAGUACGGGUGAGGAGUUACUUACGGGGGCAGAACUGACUCGAAGACAGCUGUGUUACCAAGUCCCACAACAGCAUGGGUGACAGCUUACAAUAGCUGGGAAACCAGGUUUCAAUGCACAGCCUCAACAGAUUGAGGAGUCUUUCUUCCUUCCUUCCUUCCUUUCUUCCUUCCUUCCUUCCUUCCUUCCUUCCUUCCUUCCUUCCUUCCUUCCUUCCUUCCUUCCUUCUAUUUUUGUUUUUGAGUUUUGGGUUUGUUUUUGUUUUUUCUGAGACGGGGUUUCUCUGUGUGGUCCUGGCUGUCCUAGAACUCACUCUGUUUUUUGUUUUGGUUUUUCGAGACAGGGUUUCUCUGUAUAGCCCUGGCUGUCCUGGAACUCACUCUGUAGACCAGGCUGGCCUCGAACUCAGAAAUCCACCUGUCUCUGCCUCCCAAGUGCUGGAAUUAAAGGUGUGCGCCACCACUGCCUGGUAAGAGUGUCCUUUCUUUUUUUUUUUAAAAAGAUUUAUUUAUUUAUUUAUUAUAUGUAAGUACACUGUAGCUGUCUUCAGAUGCACCAGAAGAGGGCAUUAGAUCUCAUUACAGAUGGUUGUGAGCCACCAUGUGGUUGCUGGGAUUUGAACUCGGGACCUUCGGAAGAGCAGUCGGGUGCUCUUACCCACUGAGCCAUCUCACCAGCCCCCAAGAGUGUCCUUUCUAAAUUACUCUAUUUUAAACCUCUUCUUGGCGGCUUGGCUGGCUUCUGCUUCUUCCAGGUUGCGAGUCUGCUCUCAGGAGUCUUCUUCCCAGCUCUGCUUCCCUUCCUCUGAGUGGGAAGCUCAGCUUUAAUUGUUUACUCUGGCAAGGCGGGGCCUAGGGAAUCUUGUUAGUUUCAGGAACUUCCUGAAUCUAUUUUGAGUUGUUUACCUCAAGAACAGACUGUUUCCACCUCAGAGGUUAA
rnacentral:lncRNA from 1 species